AGUCACGGGCCAAUGGAAAAUGGCGGCUGAGCGGUGGCGUGUCCGGCAGUAGGUGGAGUGACCCUGGGACCUGGACGGGAGCCUGGCGGGGUCAGCCUUCCACCAGCUGCCCUGCGGAUGGCUGUGUGGGUUUGGGGAGGCCGCCUUGGCCUGCGCGGGUGCUUCUGUCCGGGCAGGCUACUGUAUCCCCGUUUCCAGAGCCGCGGUCCCCAGGGCGUGGAAGACGGGGACAGGUGGCAGCCUUCCUCGGAGACAACCAGGAUCCCCAAGAUUUACACCAAAACAGGAGACAAAGGGUUUUCUAGCACCUUCACCGGAGAAAGGAGACCCAAAGAUGACCAAGUGUUUGAAGCCGUGGGAACUACAGAUGAAUUAAGCUCAGCCAUUGGGUUUGCUAUGGAAUUAAUUGCAGAGAAAGGCCACGCAUUUGCUGAAGAGCUUGAGAAAAUCCAGUGCACGCUGCAGGACGUGGGUGCUGCCCUCGCCACGCCAAGCUCCUCGGCCAGGGAGGCCCACUUAAAGCUCACUGCCUUCGAGGAGGGGCCCAUCGUGGAGCUGGAGCACUGGAUUGACAAGUACUCGAGCCAGCUCCCUCCUCUCACAGCUUUUAUCCUGCCUUCGGGAGGCAAGAGCAGCGCCGCGCUGCAUUUCUGUCGGGCCGUGUGCCGCCGAGCUGAGAGACGCGUGGUGCCUCUCGUCCAGACGGGAGAGACAGACGCAAAUGUGGCCAAGUUCUUAAACAGACUCAGCGACUAUCUCUUCACACUAGCCAGAUACACAGCCAUGAGGGAGGGGAAUCAAGAAAAAAUAUACAAGAAAAAAUGACUGAUUGGACUGAGCCAAGGCAUUGGGAAGUAACGGGACGGAGAAGCUUUUUUGGCCCCCUCCAUGGUGAUGGUGAUGAGGAGAAGAGUUUGCUCAUCCAGGGUCCUGAUUCCCGAAGGUCUCACCCAGGGGCUGGAAGCUGGUGUUUUGUCCAGACUCAGCUUUGUCCCAGGAACUGUGGCUGUCGGAGAAUUGCCACCUCCCCCAAGUGCUCCUUGGCCUUAGUGGGGCAGUGGGCAUUCAGAAUUGCGGAAAAGAAAGGCAAGAUGGAGAGGAGCUCUGAGGCGGAAUGUGCUCAGCUUGAGAAAAUAAGGUCAUCUGUUUCUGACAAGGCCGACACUGACGAGACCCUCCUGAUGCUGCACUUGGCUGCCUCCCGCCUCCGAAAUCCACGCCACGGCGGUAUUUUAUUUCACUUGUCACCAUCGCUCCCUCCCGCUAUGUAACGGACUGCCGGCGCCAGCUGUGUCCUUGGCAAGGGGGAUAUUUAUGAAGGGCUAAGAUGUAGUCCUGAGGACGUAAAGAUUCCACCGUGCUAAUUGCAGGAAAUGACUUCUCAGAAGGGCAGACUCGGGCUGGCUGCAGGACCGAGAGUGCCUGGUGAGCGCCCACCUCCCACGGGGCACUGUGCCAGGCCCUGGAAGGCCGGCCUUUCUGCUAUCCUUGCCGCAAGGCAGCAAACCUUCAAGCACCAGUCGCGUGCAUAUUUUUGCCAUCAUUGUUACCGCCUCGCCUGCUGAUUUUGUGGGAGGAAUGGGUACAUCUUGUCUCCUAAGGGUCCUUUAGUUCCUGGGCAGCUGCUGCAGAGGAACAGGCAGGUUUCGUCCUCGGUGGGUCCUUUGGUUCCUGGCCGGCUGCUGUGGCCCUUGGACACCUGGGGCAGGGCAGCUGAGGUGCUGAUGACCCAGGAGUGAAGUGGCUCCUGGAAGUGGCCGUGUCCAACUUGUCCCACCCCACCUGUCCGUCUGUCUCUCCCACCAAGCCUGGCACGUAGUAGGUGCUUAUUGUUUGUAAACGGAACUGGGAACACAGCAAGCAGAGACUUGAGUUGAUUCCCGAGAGGCUAAUGCCUGUGGACUCUUCCUCCUAAGAGCUCGAAGGCUCACCCAAGGAGGGCUGGGUUGCAGGAGCUUGCAGCGGAUCACUCGGCUCUGCCCUCACCUCAGAACCUCCCUGGAAGUGCAGGAUGUGUGUAAUAAAACCACAGCCCCACACUCCUCGCGGUGGUAACAUGUAGCUUCCAAAGAUGAGGGAGGCUCUCGGAGUAAAGACAACACCCUUUUCAGGGACAGGCUGUCAAUGGAUGGAUGUUAACCCUCAGCUUCCUACACUCAGCCUCCACGUCCCCCCUCUUCCCUUUCACUGGGGAACAUUUCCGUUAGAAAUGCCCAGUUGCAGGGCCGACUCGGCACCUCUGGAAGCGUUUCUCUCCAGUGCCUUCACCCUUGGAGAAAACAAGAAAGCCUUAUCAGAGGAUGAGUUGGUUUGAAACAUUUGCUCUGUGGCAGUGCCAUCCCAAGCCAUGUUGGAGCCCGAGGCAAAAAAUAUCAAAUCUCGCUUUCCAGAAUAUCUUCCCAUAUUCUGAACCACGUGGGAAAACUUAAUAAAAAAGCUCUACAAUCAAAAAACAUGACGUUACAUAAAGCCUCUACAUUGCUCAAUUUGUUCUCACAAGUGAUUAUUCCCAUCGCAUAGUAACACAUGGUUGCAAAACAAACAGCCUCUCUUUAAAUUGUGAUAUCUUGUUCAUCGUGGAUUUUUUUUUGCGUCAUUUUGAGUUUUUAAAGAUACUGUAUUGAAAUAUGAUUUAUCUUGACUACCGAGUUUUUUGGCACUCCCUUAAAGACAGGUGCCUCAGUCACCUCCCCCUAGUUUGGGUCCCGCUCUCCGGAUCAAUACUUAGCACCAUUACCAGGCUGAUGUCAAACGCUCCAUUUAGAUGAUCCCACAAUAAUAAUACCACCAGCCAGCAUUUGUUAAGUGUUUGCUCUGUACCAGGACCGAGCAAGUGCUCCACGUACAUUUAUCUCAUUUCAACCUCACAGCAACUUUAGGAGGAGGCACCCUUGACAGGCCCAGCUUUGCAGGUGAGGAAACUGAGGCUCGGAGACAAGAACCACCUUGUCCCAGCGAGUCAGCGGUAAGACUUGGGCCCCGGGCGCGGCUCCUGACCCCUGGCCCGUCACUCCUGGCCUCAUACUCCACUGCUCUUUGACAGUCACUUUCAUCACGACCUGGGCCGCAGUGAGCAGCAGCAGGCACUAAUAGAUUCUGCUGUCUCAUUUCUCAACCUCAUUUCCUUUAACUGAUACUUCAGGGCUAUUGUUAAUGUACAUUUUUCACUGAGUAAUUUUCACAACCUGAACUUGCGAUGCAUCCCAAUGACAAACGUCCCUGGUUCCGCAUCCUCCCGUCAACGGCAAUGUCACCCUCUCCACCUCCCUGAUACCUUUUUCUGACAGCCCAUCCGGUUUUAUGAUCUCUGUGUCCCAGUUAUCAUUACUGAACCUUUAAGAAUCCAGGCACCUUUCAAGUUUAAUUGAAUAAAAUUCU